rnacentral:rRNA from 1 species
AUUGAACGCUGGCGGCAUGCCUAACACAUGCAAGUCGAGCGGACGGACGGGGUUCUUCCUGGCAUCCAGUUGCGGACGGGUGAGUAAUGCAUAGGAAGCUGCCCAGUAGUGGGGGAUAGCAUCGCUAAAGGCGGCCUAAUACCGCAUACGACCUUAUGGUGAAAGGGGGGGAUCAAUAGACCUCGCGCUAUUAGAUGUGCCUAUGUCGUAUUAGCUAGUUGGUGGGGUAAAGGCGUACCAAGGCGACGAUCCGUAGCUGGUCUGAGAGGAUGACCAGCCACACUGGAACUGAGACACGGUCCAGACUCCUACGGGAGGCAGCAGUGGGGAAUCUUGGACAAUGGGCGAAAGCCUGAUCCAGCCAUGCCGCGUGAGUGAAGAAGGUCUUCGGAUUGUAAAACGCUUUUAUUUGGGAAGAACGACUGUGGGCUAAUACCUUGGUGUCUUGACGGUACCGAAAGAAUAAGCACCGGCUAACUACGUG